rnacentral:rRNA from 1 species
UACGUAGGGUGCGAGCGUUGUCCGGAAUUACUGGGCGUAAAGAGCUCGUAGGUGGUUUGUCGCGUUGUUCGUGAAAACUCACAGCUUAACUGUGGGCGUGCGGGCGAUACGGGGCAGACUGGAGUACUGCAGGGGAGACUGGAAUUCCUGGUGUAGCGGUGGAAUGCGCAGAGUAUCAGGAGGAACACCGGUGGCGAAGGCGGGUCUCUGGGCGAGUAACUGACGCUGGAGGAGCGAAAGCGUGGGGAGCGAACAGG